GAUGAAGAACGCAGCGAAAUGCGAUACGUAAUGUGAAUUGCAGAAUUCAGUGAAUCAUCGAAUCUUUGAACGCAUAUUGCGCUCUCUGGUAUUCCGGAGAGCAUGCUUGUUUGAGUAUCAGUAAACACCUCAACUCCCUUUUCUUUUUUGAAAUUGGAGCUGGACUUGAGUGAUCCCAACGCUUUCUUCCAAGAAAGUGGCGGGUUGCUUGAAAUGCAGGUGCAGCUGAACUUUUCUCUGAGCUAUAAGCAUAUCUAUUUAGUCUGCCUAAAAAACAGAUUAUUACCUGUGCUGCAGCUAACAUAAAGGAGACUAGUUCUUGUGCUGACUGAUGCAGGAUUCACAGAGACAGCUUCGGCUGACUUUGUAAACUCGAUCUCAAAUCAAGUAAGACUACCCGCUGAACUUAAGCAUAUCAAUAAGCGGAGGAA
rnacentral:misc_RNA from 1 species